CAUCUCUUGAUGUGACUCUUUGUCAUGAUGUCAUUUAAUAAUGACUUAUAUUUCACAUUUCCUUCAUAAUGAGUACAGACUUUAAAAACACUUAAAUGGAUUCAAUCACAUGUAGUGACAUUAUAUUAUAUGUUUCAAUCAAGGUUCAACAUGAACCGCAAAUGUCACAAACACGUUGUUAAGUCUUAUUUUUUAAUUCUAAAUGGAUUUUAAGUGUUAUUGUUAUGCCGAAUAUGUGUUUGUUAUUCCGGAUCAGUUUAAUUUCGCUUCGAAGAGGCCAUGUUUAUUUACUUCAUUGGUUGAGUUUUUUUCUGGAAGGUCUUUCAGCUACAAUUUAAAAUAGAUUAUAAUAAUAAAAUUGUCUGCUUCGCAAGUUGCGGUGGUACGAAAAAAUUUAUGGUGCUCCUCAGCUUUGGGCGCUUUUGGCGAAUACUGUGGUGAGCUGGUUCGAGAGUUUCCCGGCCGGUCAAUAAACUCUACUGAACUGCACACUAAUUGGGCAAAAUGUUUAAAAAAGUGGCCAUUCACAAGGAGACGAUGCAGCAGCACUUUUGGGGCGAUAAACGGCUCAGGUGGAUGAAUUAUAGAAGAAGCUAAAUUACGGCAUGCAUGAACAUUGGUUUGGUAUUCCGUGUUAAAACUCAAUUGAUAGGAUAAGUGGAAUUGUGGAUGCACGUUUUAUGUUUUUUCAAUA